GCACAGUAAUCGGAUCAUAGCUGUUGAAAACAACACAUUUCCUGAACAACUCAGAACACUAAAUAUGCAGAACAAUGAUUUUAGAUUCAUACAUGAGCAUCAGUUCUCAUACUUGUCUGAACUGAGCCAAUUGAUUUUAAGCAACAAUGCCAUAGACUACAUUCCAGAUGAUGCCUUUAUCAAUGCUACAAGCCUAACAUAUCUACAUCUCUCAAGCAACAAAAUAACACAGAUUAAGAAAAUACACUUUGUGAAUUGCCCGUUGACAUCU